GCUACUCUUGGCUCCUUACUCCAUUGUCCCAACCUGAUUCUCCUGCUGAACACAGUUACAAUCAUGCACAUAAGGCUACGCGGAAUGUGAUAGAAAGAUGUUUUGGUGUGCUGAAGUCACGGUUUCGGUGUCUGGAUAAAUCUGCUGGCCUUUUGUUGUAUAGUCCCUCAAAGAUAACUGAGGGGAUCGGGGCUCAUCACUCUGCGAACUCGCCAAUAGUGCCAGUGGUGGCUGGGGUGACACUGCCGAAAGUCGUCGCCUGGGUGGGGAUGAUGGAGCCGCAGAUUCCGAGCCAAGACGCCGUGUCUUACUUGGCCUCCUGGAAUAUGUGACUACACUGAAGUCUUACCUGCAAUCCCAGCCUCAUCCUGACUUGUCUGAGGCCUGUCUGGCCGGCUGGUCUGUGGGAC